GAUCUUCUUGAUACCUCCAAGAGCUGCAUGCACAGCCAGAUGUAAUAGACUCUGCAGGUGAAAAUUCUGAAAAUACUUAUCUGCAUACAAGCAUAACUUCAGAUCUCCUGAGAUGUUGGCUCCUGCAAGAAUGCCAGUUGCAGCUGGGAAAAAGAUGGCAAACACUGAGAAAAAUCCUUCUCCACUUCUGAAAUCUGGUCCAAAGUUUUCUGCAAAUAUUGAUGCUGCAAAUACAGGUGAAAAUGUAAAGGAAUAGCAGAAAUCAUCCGAGAUUAUGGAAUGGACAGAAAAUGGAGCUUUCCUGCUAGGCAGAGCUUUGGAGCAACAGAGAUGCCAAGAAGACAUACAACAGUUAUGGUACCUAUUAUUCUGAUAUCAUUGGACUCAUCUACCAUUAUCGAAUCACUCUCCUGAAAAGAUGAAAAUAUUUGCUCAUCUUCUAAGGAGGUAGCUGAAACGUAAGGGGUAUUAUGAAGAAUUAUACUGGAAGGAAUUAAAUUGAAGAUAUCCACCGAUCUGCAUCAGACUUAAAAAUAAGAGGAAGAGUGCGGUGCUUGUUUUGUCCAAGGAUGUCCAACCUGAAAGGCUCUGAAUAAGAAAGACCUGCUGAAAGAACAGGUUAGCCUUCCUCUCUCCUGAGGAUAAAGAUGAUGAGCUCAUCAAGUCAUCAUAACAAGUGAGGAGAAUAACCAAGACGAAGAAAGGACAGGUGAAUCUCCAAAGAAAUAGAGUUUGAGUAAGAUCUGGACCAAAAAAUAGAUGCUUAUCAGAAUUAUUC